ACCUUACCAGGUCUUGACAUCCUUUGACCACUCUAGAGAUAGAGCUUCCCCUUCGGGGGCAAAGUGACAGGUGGUGCAUGGUUGUCGUCAGCUCGUGUCGUGAGAUGUUGGGUUAAGUCCCGCAACGAGCGCAACCCUUAUUGUUAGUUGCCAUCAUUCAGUUGGGCACUCUAGCAAGACUGCCGGUGACAAACCGGAGGAAGGUGGGGAUGACGUCAAAUCAUCAUGCCCCUUAUGACCUGGGCUACACACGUGCUACAAUGGGAAGUACAACGAGUCGCGAAGUCGCGAGGCUAAGCUAAUCUCUUAAAGCUUCUCUCAGUUCGGAUUGCAGGCUGCAACUCGCCUGCAUGAAGCCGGAAUCGCUAGUAAUCGCGGAUCAGCACGCCGCGGUGAAUACGUUCCCGGGCCUUGUACACACCGCCCGUCACACCACGAGAGUUUGUAACACCCGAAGUCGGUGAGGUAACCUUUUNGGAGCCAGCCGCCUAAGGUGGGAUAGAUGAUUGGGGUGAAGUCGUAACAAGGUAGCCGUAUCGGAAGGUGCGGCUGGAUCACCUCCUUUCUAAGGAA
rnacentral:rRNA from 1 species